UGUUUUGAAGCAUGGCCGAAUCUUUAGAUCCCUUAGGACUGAAGGUUCCAUUAUUCAGUGCAGACUCAUGGCAAGAAAAUUUAAGAGACUGAGCUAACCAAUGGCAGAUAGAUAGAUCACUGAAUGAUUCUGUGAGCAACUCAAUCUGCCUGCCUGCUUUGCCUGAUUUUGGGUAAAAGUUGUUCUUUUUUAAUAAAAAAUUCAAUAUUUAC